rnacentral:tRNA from 1 species
GCGGUUGUGGUGGAAUUGGUAGACACGUACGUUUGAGGGGCGUAUGCCGAAAGGCGUGACGGUUCAAGUCCGUCCAGCCGCACCA